GACGAACGCUGGCGGCGUGCUUAACACAUGCAAGUCGAACGGAAAGGCCCUUCGGGGUACACGAGUGGCGAACGGGUGAGUAACACGUGGGUGAUCUGCCCUGCACUUCGGGAUGAGCCUGGGAAACUGGGUCUAAUACCGGAUAGGACCACUGCCUGCAUGGGUGGUGGUGGAAAGCUUUUGCGGUGUGGGAUGGGCCCGCGGCCUAUCAGCUUGUUGGUGGGGUGAUGGCCUACCAAGGCGACGACGGGUAGCCGGCCUGAGAGGGUGACCGGCCACACUGGGACUGAGAUACGGCCCAGACUCCUACGGGAGGCAGCAGUGGGGAAUAUUGCACAAUGGGCGCAAGCCUGAUGCAGCGACGCCGCGUGAGGGAUGACGGCCUUCGGGUUGUAAACCUCUUUCAGCACCGACGAAGCGCAAGUGACGGUAGGUGCAGAAGAAGGACCGGCCAACUACGUGCCAGCCGCCGCGGUAA
rnacentral:rRNA from 1 species